CAGAGGUCCUCAGGCAGACUGCUGCACAGGGGAACAGUGAAGUCAUAGCCCCCAGGCACUACUGCAUUGUCAGGUGAAUCAAAUUCAAGAGGAUUAAAUAGCACAGUAUGCAAAAUUCUUGCUCCCUCAAUCCCUUCUGAUUUCCGGUUCUCAGGAAAAAUCAGCAGCCAGCUGCUGACAAGACCAGGAUUAGAACUCCCUGACUGGACACAUAGGAGACUUUGCUAUAAAAAUGUGAUGAGGAGAGGAAGUAAUUGCAUAAUCUACAUUUGGCCUGGCAGUCAGCCUUCUGACCUACAAACUUACAUGAUCCACUUCCAAUAAGUCAGGAAGAAAAGAGUAGGCAUGUGAUCAAGUACUUCUGCUGAGGAAAAGACCGGUUACAAUGCUCAAGACUAAGCAUAUCCUUAAAUUCAUUGCUGAAUCAGAGCUUCACACUUCAGGUCAAAUGCUACAGUGGUCAACGAUCUUAGAGGACRAGACAAGAGCAGCUUUAGUGGAAUCAUCCAAGCUACAUGUGUCUAUAGAAUCAUGCAAGCAUAUCAUAUUCUUUGAUUUUAUGAAGUUUUUCAAUGUUACUAAUAAAGAUUACAAAAGAAAAUCUUUG
rnacentral:lncRNA from 1 species